rnacentral:rRNA from 1 species
UCAAGUAGAUGCCAGCCGCCGCGGUAAUCGGGUAACCAGUAGAGCCCGUAAGACGGGAAAUCCACGGGAAACGGGGAGCUAAUACCGGAUAGGUGAUUUCCUCGCAUGAGGGAAUUGUAUUAACGUGGAUUCAGCUGCCACUUAUGGAUGGACCCACGGCGCAUUAGCUAGUUGGUGGGGUAACGGCUCACCCAGGCGACGAUGCGUACCGACCUGAAAGGGUGAUCGGCCCCCCCGGGACUGAAACACGGCCCAGACUUCUACGGGAGGCGGC